rnacentral:rRNA from 1 species
UACGAAGGUCCCAAGCGUUAUCCGGAUUUAUUGGGUUUAAAGGGUGCGUAGGCGGACUAUUAAGUCAGUGGUGAAAGCCCCCAGCCUAACUGGGGAACUGCCAUUGAUACUGAUGGUCUUGAGUACAUUUGAGGUGGGCGGAAUGUGUCAUGUAGCGGUGAAAUGCUUAGAGAUCGGGAAGAACACCCGUGGCGAAGGCGACCUACUGGGCUGCGACUGACGCUGAGAUGCGAAAGUGUGGGGAGCAAACGGG